rnacentral:lncRNA from 1 species
GUGGAGAGGAAGCAGUCUGCCUCGCAAGCUCACUAGCGCGGGGGGUUUGCGGAUUUGGGAGACUGGCAGCGGUGUCGUUCCGAGAGAUAAGCCCGGCAAGGCAGGGGAGGGCUCCGUGGAAUGGAGAAAGACCUUAAAUAGCACGUGAGCUCUACAGUGUGCGCUACAGGAGCUUGGCUUUGGGAUUCUGACGGGAACAUCACUCCUAGAGACUUAAGCAUUGAAAGUGAGUAUAAUUUAUUUAUAUGUAUGUAUACAUCAAGGAUAAAACCAUUAUUAAAAUACAU